GACGAACGCUGGCGGCGUGCUUAACACAUGCAAGUCGAACGGUGAUGAUCGGAGCUUGCUCUGGUCUGAUCAGUGGCGAACGGGUGAGUAACACGUGAGUAACCUGCCCCCCACUCUGGGAUAACUCCGGGAAACCGGGGCUAAUACCGGAUAUGACACGAACAGGCAUCUGUAUCGUGUGGAAAGUUUUUCGGUGGGGGAUGGACUCGCGGCCUAUCAGCUUGUUGGUGGGGUAAUGGCCUACCAAGGCGACGACGGGUAGCCGGCCUGAGAGGGCGACCGGCCACACUGGGACUGAGACACGGCCCAGACUCCUACGGGAGGCAGCAGUGGGGAAUAUUGCACAAUGGGCGAAAGCCUGAUGCAGCGACGCCGCGUGAGGGAUGAAGGCCUUCGGGUUGUAAACCUCUUUCAGCAGGGAAGAAGCGCAAGUGACGGUACCUGCAGAAGAAGCACCGGCUAACUACGUGCCAGCAGCCGCGGUAAUACGUAGGGUGCAAGCGUUGUCCGGAAUUAUUGGGCGUAAAGAGCUUGUAGGCGGUUUGUCGCGUCUGCUGUGAAAUUUCGGGGCUCAACCCCGAACUUGCAGUGGGUACGGGCAGACUAGAGUGUGGUAGGGGAGACUGGAAUUCCUGGUGUAGCGGUGAAAUGCGCAGAUAUCAGGAGGAACACCGAUGGCGAAGGCAGGUCUCUGGGCCAUAACUGACGCUGAGAAGCGAAAGCAUGGGGAGCGAACAGGAUUAGAUACCCUGGUAGUCCAUGCCGUAAACGUUGGGCGCUAGGUGUGGGGCUCAUUCCACGAGUUCCGUGCCGCAGCUAACGCAUUAAGCGCCCCGCCUGGGGAGUACGGCCGCAAGGCUA
rnacentral:rRNA from 1 species